UACGUAGGGUGCAAGCGUUGUCCGGAAUUAUUGGGCGUAAAGAGCUCGUAGGUGGCCUGUCGCGUCGGCUGUGAAAACUCGGGGCUCAACUCCGAGCUUGCAGUCGAUACGGGCAGGCUAGAGUUCGGCAGGGGAGACUGGAAUUCCUGGUGUAGCGGUGAAAUGCGCAGAUAUCAGGAGGAACACCGGUGGCGAAGGCGGGUCUCUGGGCCGGUACUGACGCUGAGACGCGAAAGCGUGGGGAGCGAACAGG
rnacentral:rRNA from 1 species